GUGAAUGUGUCAUCUAGCCUGCCAGGAGCAGCACUGCUGUUGCUUGGCCAAAGUCCUUGAGAACCUCCCCUCCUUGGAGUGGUGGCUUGAGGUAAAAGAACCCACGGCGCCAAAGGCGUCAAGGAACACUGUGCCAUUACAGGGGUGUGCCUGGCUUGCUAGCUGUGCCCCGUUUUGCAAUGCUAUAUAAUCCACACGACUCUCGGCAACGGAUAUCUCGGCUCUCGCAUCGAUGAAGAACGUAGCGAAAUGCGAUACCUGGUGUGAAUUGCAGAAUCCCGCGAACCAUCGAGUCUUUGAACGCAAGUUGCGCCCGAGGCCACUUGGUUGAGGGCACGCCUGCCUGGGCGUCACGCCAAAAACGCUCCCACCACUCAUCGGGAAGUGGGAUGCGGCAUGUGGCCCCCCGUCUCGCAAGAUGUGGUGGGCCUAAGAUGUGGCUGCCGGCCUAUCGUGCCGGACACAGCGGGUGGUGGGCGAUAUUGCUUUACUUACCGCAGUGCGUACGGACCGUAGCCGAUGUUAUAGCCUUAAGGACCCAAAGAACGGAGCGUUUUACGUUUCGACC
rnacentral:misc_RNA from 1 species